AGUAAAAGUCGUAACAAGGUUUCCGUAGGUGAACCUGCGGAAGGAUCAUUAAUGAUACUUGGAGAUUCUGAUGCUGGCGUUUACUCGCAUGUGCUCGAUUUCCUUAAUCCAUUCAACACCUGUGCACCUUUGUGAAGGAGAGCGAAAGUUCACCUUCAUUUUAUACAAACUCUUUAUUGAAAUCUGAAUGUUCAUUGGCCGAAAGGCUCUAAAAUAAAACAACUUUUAACAACGGAUCUCUUGGCUCUCGCAUCGAUGAAGAACGCAGCGAAAUGCGAUAAGUAAUGUGAAUUGCAGAAUUCAGUGAAUCAUCGAAUCUUUGAACGCACCUUGCGCUCCCUGGUAUUCCGGGGAGCACGCCUGUUCGAGUGUCAUGAAGCUCUCAAAUGGAGUCCUUUAUUGUGACUCUUCAUUUGGAUUUGGACUCUGCUGUGGUCAAAUACAGCUGGUCUUAAAAAUAUUAGCUUGGUCCUUGAUAAUCUUGGUUCUACUCGGCGUGAUAAUUAUCUAACGUUGAGGACAUUUCUUUAUUGAGAUGGCCAGAAUUGUUUAAGAGCUGCCUCUAAUCGUCUUCGGACAUAACAUUUUCAAAUCUGACCUCGAAUCAGGUGGGACUACCCGCUGAACUUAAGCAUAUCAAUAAGCGGAGGAAAAGAAACUAACAAGGAUUCCCCUAGUAACGGCGAGUGAAGCGGGAUGAGCUCAAAUUUAAAAUCUGGUGGUCUUUGGCCGUCCGAGUUGUAAUCUAGAGAAGCGUCUUCCGUGC
rnacentral:rRNA from 1 species